AAUCAACGCUGGCGGCGUGCCUCAGACAUGCAAGUCGAACGAUUAAAGCUCUCUUCGGAGAGUGUAUAGAGUGGCGCACGGGUGAGUAACACGUAAGUAAUCUACCUUUGAGUGGGGAAUAACAGUCGGAAACGACUGCUAAUACCGCAUAAUGCAGCGGCAUCGCAAGAUGACAGUUGUUAAAGGAGCAAUCCGCUUAAAGAGGAGCUUGCGGCAGAUUAGCUUGUUGGUAAGGUAACGGCUUACCAAGGCUACGAUCUGUAUCCGGUCUAAGAGGACGGUCGGACACACUGACACUGAAUAACGGGUCAGACUCCUACGGGAGGCAGCAGUCGGGAAUUUUGGGCAAUGGGCGAAAGCCUGACCCAGCAACGCCGCGUGAAGGAUGAAGUAUUUCGGUAUGUAAACUUCGAAAGAAUGGGAAGAAUCAAUGACGGUACCAUUUAUAAGCUCCGGCUAACUACGUGCCAGCAGCCGC
rnacentral:rRNA from 1 species